AUGGUGCAGUGCUGCCAUCGUCGCCGGGCCCCUACGAUGGUCCUCAAACUUGACUUCGCCAAGAAGUUCGACUCCAUCAACUGGGCGAGCUUGCGCGCUGUGAUGGCGGCCAGGGGGUUCCCAUCGCUCUGGUGCGACUGGAUGGAUGCCCUCUUCCACUCCUCGAGCUCGGCGGUCUUGUUGAACGGGGUGCCAGGGCGAUGGUUCCGGGUGCGCUGCGGCCUCAGGCAGGGGGACCCCAUCUCCCCCUACAUCUUCCUCAUCGUCGUUGACAUGCUCCAACGGCUGAUCCGCCAGGAUGAUGUGCUUCGCCACCCUCUCCUUCCGGGCGUGCCUGCGGUGGUGCUGCAGUACGCUGAUGACACGUUGAUCAUCGCGCGGGCGGACGAGGAUGACGCGGUCCGUCUCCGGCAAAUUCUCGACCAGUUCGCCGCCGCCACGGGGCUGAUCAUCAACUUCACCCAAAGCACCCUGGUGCUGGUGCAUGUGGAGGAGGAGGCUCUGGCCCGCGUGGUGGCCGCUUUGGGCUGCGCCACGGGGUCGUUCCCGCAGACGUACCUCGGCCACCCUCUCUCAUGGGAGAAGCUGCGAUUCGCUGAUUUCCUUCCGCUGAUUGCGAAGGUGGACAGAUAUCUCACCGGCUGGGCGGCUUGCCUUCUCUCCCCCGCGGGGCGUCUGGUGCUCAUUGAUGUCGUCCUGGAUGCACUCCCUACAUAUGCAAUGGCUGCGUUGCUGCUGCCGCCUGCCGUGGUGCGUGCGUUGGAUGGGCUGCGCCGCGCCUUCCUAUGGAACAUCGCCGAACGAGCAUUGGGCGCCCAAUGCCUUGUUGCUUGGGAGCGUGUUUGUCGGGCGAAGAGCUAA
rnacentral:rRNA from 1 species